AUGAUUUUUUUGUUAAUUUCUAAUGCUUUAUUUCAGAGAACCAAAUCUGCACCAUGCCGCCUCACCCUCUUAGGUUAUUGUUUCACCCCUUUUGAUAGUUUGUUAGGUUUGUCCUUGUCCUUCUUCCCUAAGCGCUGCAAUUUUCUACCCUAUUUGUUUACUGCUUAUUAUCGUGUUAAUUCCUUUGUAUUCCUGGUUUUUCCGGGUGCCGUGUUUGUGUGUUUGUUUUUGUGGUGCUGCUUAUACGUGUGA
rnacentral:rRNA from 1 species